rnacentral:rRNA from 1 species
GACAGAGGGUGCAAACGUUGUUCGGAAUUACUGGGCGUAAAGCGCGUGUAGGCUGCUUGGAAAGUCGGGUGUGAAAUCCCUGGGCUCAACCCAGGAAGUGCACUCGAAACUUCUAAGCUUGAGUUCUGGAGAGGAAGGCGGAAUUCUCGGUGUAGAGGUGAAAUUCGUAGAUAUCGAGAGGAACACCGGUGGCGAAGGCGGCCUUCUGGACAGUGACUGACGCUGAGACGCGAAAGCGUGGGGAGCAAACAGG